UACGGAGGGUGCAAGCGUUAUCCGGAUUCACUGGGUUUAAAGGGUGCGUAGGAGGGCAGGUAAGUCAGUGGUGAAAUCUCCGAGCUUAACUUGGAAACUGCCGUUGAUACUAUCUGCCUUGAAUAUUGUGGAGGUGAGCGGAAUAUGUCAUGUAGCGGUGAAAUGCUUAGAUAUGACAUAGAACACCAAUUGCGAAGGCAGCUCGCUACACAUAUAUUGACGCUGAGGCACGAAAGCGUGGGGAUCAAACAGG
rnacentral:rRNA from 1 species